rnacentral:lncRNA from 1 species
CUCUGGUCUGGUGACCCACAGUGUUAGAGAUGGCAGCUGCUCCAUCAACAGGAGAUUCUAGGUAUGAUGAGUCAAGCCCUCUUGCCCAGCCCAAAUUGGACAUUUAAUAUUACGUGAAAAGUUGUUUUAAGCCACUGAGAUUGUGGACUUGUUUGUUCGAAAAGCGUAACCUAGCCUUUUCUGCUUGAUACAGAGAGAAAUCCUAAGAUAAAGUUACUGCUUCCUUUGAAAUGAUCACAACCAUCAUGACUCACAAAUGAAGUUAUGCAUUCCUCUCCAUAAACCAGUCAACUGAGCAAAAGAUGAAACAGAAAUGGAGCAAGUCCUCCGAAGCUUUAUUAACGGAACUGUAGUCCUCUGAGGGUGGAACCCACCUCCCCACCCACGUUCCUUCUGCAAGCUUUAGGUCUCUUCCUCAGGUACCAUCUCACCUGUGGCUUGAUCACAGGGGCAUCUCUGAAGCUGGGAAAACAGAGCUCUAGAAAGGAUGUUCCGCUUCCUCCAGCUUCCAGUUCCAAGGUUGAGUUCCCAGAUGUUGAUUUUGGCCAAUCUAUACCACGACUGGUUAGAUGAGUUCAAAACACUGGGAAAAAAUGAGGCCAAAUCACUAUCAUACUUCAUCUUUUCCAGAGGGCCAGUCACCAAAAGCAACUGGUUUUUCUUUCCCCAGUGGACAGCGCUGGACAUUAUACAAACCUACAUAACUCAGUUGGUAAAGAAUCUGCCUGCAAUGCAGGAGACCUGGGUUCAAUUCCUGGGUCAGGAAGAUCCCCCUGGAAAAGGAAAUGGCAACCCACUCCAGUGUUCUUGCCUGGAGAAUCCCAUGAACAGAGGAGCCUGGUGGAGUACAGUCCAUGGGGUCACAAGGAGUCCGAGAGGACUGAGCAACUAGACCACCACCACCACCACCACUUAGCUUUGAAGUUGCCAUAAGCUUUCCUUUGCUGCCACCUACUGGAUAAAAUGAGCAUAGUUUUAAAUAAAGCUUUUCAGUUGAGUUCA